AACGAACGCUGGCGGCAUGCCUAACACAUGCAAGUCGAACGAAGCCUUCGGGCUUAGUGGCGCACGGGUGCGUAACGCGUGGGAAUCUGCCCUUGGGUUCGGAAUAACAGUUAGAAAUGACUGCUAAUACCGGAUGAUGUCUUCGGACCAAAGAUUUAUCGCCCAAGGAUGAGCCCGCGUAGGAUUAGGUAGUUGGUGGGGUAAUGGCCAACCAAGCCGACGAUCCUUAGCUGGUCCGAGAGGAUGAUCAGCCACACUGGGACUGAGACACGGCCCAGGCUCCUACGGGAGGCAGCAGUGGGGAAUAUUGGACAAUGGGCGAAAGCCUGAUCCAGCAAUGCCGCGUGAGUGAUGAAGGCCUUAGGGUUGUAAAGCUCUUUUACCAGGGAUGAUAAUGACAGUACCUGGAGAAUAAGCUCCGGCUAACUCCGUGCCAGCAGCCGCCGUAACAC
rnacentral:rRNA from 1 species